GACGAACGCUGGCGGCGUGCCUAAUACAUGCAAGUCGAGCGAGACUCUUCGGAGUCUAGCGGCGGACGGGUGAGUAACACGUGGGCAACCUGCCUGUAAGACUGGGAUAACACCGGGAAACCGGUGCUAAUACCGGAUAAUCCUUUUCUUCUCAUGAGGAAAAGCUGAAAGUCGGUUUCGGCUGACACUUACAGAUGGGCCCGCGGCGCAUUAGCUAGUUGGUGAGGUAACGGCUCACCAAGGCGACGAUGCGUAGGCGACCUGAGAGGGUGAUCGGCCAGACUGGGACUGAGACACGGCCCAGACUCCUACGGGAGGCAGCGGUAGGGAAUCUUCCACAAUGGACGAAAGUCUGAGGGAGCAACGCCGCGUGAGCGAUGAAGGCCUUCGGGUCGUAAAGCUCUGUUGUUAGGGAAGAACAAGUACCGGAGUAACUGCCGGUACCUUGACGGUACCUAACCAGAAAGCCACGGCUAACUACGUGCCAGCCGCCGCUGUAAUAC
rnacentral:rRNA from 1 species